CUGCGCUAGACGGGGAGCUAGCGGUGCCCUGUAACCUGCAAUCCGCUACAGCAGGGUUGAAUUCCCUUCCAAGGUUUACUCGCCAAAUGUCAGGUUGAGUAAGUGGUGUUGAUAGAUCAAGUCCUGCGCAACAGGAUGCUGCCGAACCCCGUCAGGACCGGAAGGUAGCAGCGGCAAGCAGUUAAUUCUGUGUGCCGCGGGGGCGCUUGGCUGGAGCUGGCUGCUUAUACGUUUCAUGCGGAAAGAGGAGUCGACGAAGGGUGCGCAG
rnacentral:SRP_RNA from 1 species